rnacentral:rRNA from 1 species
GACGAACGCUGGCGGCGUGCCUAAUACAUGCAAGUCGAACGCAGUGGGGACGGGUGAGUAACACGUGGGUAACCUCCCAUCAGAGGGGAUAACACUUGGAAACAGGUGCUAAACCGAUCCUGAUGGAUGGACCCGCGGUGCAUUAGUUAGUUGGGGAGGUAACGGCUCACCAAGGCCACGAUGCAUAGACGACCUGAGAGGGUGAUCGCGAAAACUGGGACUGAGAAACGGCCCAGACUCCUACGGCAGGCAGCGGUAGGGAAACUUCGGCAGUGGACGAAAGUCUGACCGAGAAACGCCGCGUGAGUGAAGAAGGUUUUCGGAUCGUAAAACUCUGUGGUUAGAGAAGCGGUAUCUAACCAGAAAGCCACGGCUAACUACGUGCCAGCCGCCGCGGUAAUAC